rnacentral:tRNA from 2 species
CGUGGCGGAAGCGAUGGAUGCGGCUGCGUUUGGGGCGUGGCCAGUGGCGGCGGCCACGCCGUUUCGGUUGCGGCAGUCAUGGC